GCACAACGCGAAGAACCUUACCAAGGCUUGACAUACACGAGAACACCCUGGAAACAGGGGACUCUUUGGACACUCGUGAACAGGUGGUGCAUGGUUGUCGUCAGCUCGUGUCGUGAGAUGUUGGGUUAAGUCCCGCAACGAGCGCAACCCUCGUUCUAUGUUGCCAGCACGUAAUGGUGGGAACUCAUGGGAUACUGCCGGGGUCAACUCGGGGGAAGGUGGGGAUGACGUCAAAUCAUCAUGCCCCUUAUGUCUUGGGCUUCACGCAUGCUACAAUGGCCGGUACAAAGGGCUGCAAUACCGUGAGGUGGAGCGAAUCCCAAAAAGCCGGUCCCAGUUCGGAUUGAGGUCUGCAACUCGACCUCAUGAAGUCGGAGUCGCUAGUAAUCGCAGAUCAGCAACGCUGCGGUGAAUACGUUCCCGGGUCUUGUACACACCG
rnacentral:rRNA from 1 species